rnacentral:rRNA from 1 species
CGUUCCCGGACCUUGUACACACCGCCCGUCAAGCCAUGGAAGUUGGGAGGACCUGAAGACAGUUGCUGCAAGGCGCUGUUUAGGGUUAAACCGAUGACUGGGGCUAAGUCGUAACAAGGUACCC